rnacentral:rRNA from 1 species
UGUGGUUUAAUUCGACGCAACGCGCAGAACCUUACCUGGUCUUGACAUCCCGGGAAUCUUUCUGAAAGGAGAGAGUGCCUCGCAAGAGGAGCCUGGUGACAGGUGGUGCAUGGUUGUCGUCAGCUCGUGUCGUGAGAUGUUGGGUUAAGUCCCGCAACGAGCGCAACCCUCGUCCUAUGUUGCCAGCGGGUCAUGCCGGGGACUCAUGGGAGACUGCCGGGGUCAACUCGGAGGAAGUGGGGAUGACGUCAAAUCAUCAUGCCCCUUAUGUCUUGGGCUUCACGCAUGCUACAAUGGCCGGUACAAAGGGCUGCGAUACCGGCGAGGUGGAGCGAAUCCCAGAAAGCCGGUCUCAGUUCGGAUUGGGGUCUGCAACUCGACCCCAUGAAGUCGGAGUCGCUAGUAAUCGCAGAUCAGCAACGCUGCGGUGAAUACGUUCCCGGGCCUU